GCCUUAUUUGUGAAAAGUGGUCACUAUUUUUUUGCAGGUGGUUAUUCAUUUCGUCUGGUGUUGUUGUUUCAUUGGCCACGUAUUUAAAUUGUAUAGAGUUACCAAUAUUUAUCAAACAUAUCCCUGUCACAUUCAGUAAGUAUCUGCCUGUAAUUCAAUGGUUGUUGCUGUGUUGCAUGAUUGAUUUUUCGUUUCUUUUUGGGUACAUUAAUCAGGUCGUUCCUUUUUUCGUUUGUAUUGUUUACAUUUCUUAUUUCAAGGCCUAUUGUAGCUGACUGUGGUAGGGGCUAUGGGUUUUUUUUUUUUAUGAAGGCUGUUUGAAAAUUUAUAGCUGUUAAUUUUUGUGUUAUAAGGUCUCUUGUGAAAGAAUCUCAUCGAAAAUCACACCAAACUUCUUUUCUAUAUUUAUUUGGUUUACUUUUUUCUUGAAGGUAUAUCACAGAACAAUUCUUAUAUAGUAGAUAUUAUAAGUCAUAUAUCAAGGUAUUUUGACAAAUAACCUAAAC
rnacentral:lncRNA from 1 species